UAUUAGUGCUCCUGCAUAAUACUUACUUGUAAAAUCGAUCAGGUCCGGAAGGAAGCAGUCGUAGCAGGUUAUUUGUGUGCCAGGAUGUUGUUAAUUGGA
rnacentral:SRP_RNA from 1 species